GCCCCCAUGGUGUAGCGGUUAGCACGCGAGGUUUUCAACCUCGUAGGAGGGGUUCGAGUCCCCUUGGGGGUA
rnacentral:tRNA from 2 species